AUCCGAUAAAUGAGGUAACUCCCCCCAUAAAUGCGCCGUCUAACGGUCCUUUCUCUCCUCACAGGCCGGACGCCCCGAAUUCCCCGCCGAUACAGUGUCGCAACGUCACUUACCUCAAAAGGUGCGCCCAACGGGCAGAAAGACGAACCGGCACGGCAGCUUCCUCACUUCGUAAGCCAAGGUAUGCGCUCACGAUAGUCUCGAGAGGUCGAUGGCUGGCCCGUCGAAAGGGUUCGACAGCCGAUCUCGAGCACCAAGAGUCAGGGAUCCCCAGCGAGUGGUCGAAAAUCGAGGCCCGCCUCGAGGAUUCGCUGGCGAUGUCCAAGGUAGGGUCGAGACAGUCGAGAGGAAUCCCCCCGAAGGGAGGCAUCGAGCCGCUGGACUCUAUC
rnacentral:lncRNA from 1 species